CGCAAAGACCCGGGCAAGGCGGACGCGCGCAUCUUCAAGGCUUGGGCAGUGGCCCGUGGCAGGUGGCCACCCAGCAGCAGCAGAGGUGACCAGCCGGCCCCCGAGGCUGCGGAGCGCGCAGGCUGGAAAACCAACUUCCGCUGUGCGCUGCGCAGCACGCGGCAGUUUGUGAUGCUCCAGGACAACUCGUGGAACUCCGCCGACCCUCACAAGGUGUAUGCGCUCAGCUCUGAGCUGGGUGGGAGAGAAGGCCCAGGCAUCGACCAGGGUGAGGAAGAUGGCCUCGAGGGUGGCCCCCACACACAGGGAGGGCCCCCAGGGCCACUCCUGGCAAGAGGAGGCUCUGAGCUGCACAGCCCACACCCGGUUCCAGCUGGUGAUGCGGGGAACCUCUUGCUCCAGGCCAUGCAGCAGAGUUGCCUCGGGGAAAUGAAAGCUGCGUGUGGGGGAGAGGCAGACCCCCAGCAGGCUCCUGGAGAGGGCCAGGAGGGGCCAGCCCUGAGCGGGGGCUGUGUUGGAGGCCCAGGGCUCCCUGCUGGGGAGCUGCUCAAAGCAUGGGAGGUGCACGCAUGGCCCUCUCCAGAUGCAGGCCAGGGUGCGGCUCCAGAGCCCGGUGUGAGGCCGCCUCACUGGGCUGCCGGCCCCAGCAUCCUCGCUGCAGGGGGAGAGCCCAGCCUGUGGGUGCUGGACGUGACCAUCAUGUACAAGGGCCGAGCAGUGCUGCAGGAGGUAGUGGGGCGCCCAAGCUGCUUGCUCCUGUACGGCCCCCCAGGCCCAGCUGUGCAGGCUGCAGAGCCCCAGCACGUGGCGUUCCCCAGCCCGGCGGAGCUCCCUGACCAAAAGCAGCUGCGCUACACGGAGGAGCUGCUGCGGCACGUGGCCCCCGGGCUGCAGCUGGAGCUGCGGGGGCUGUGGCUGUGGGCCCGGCGCAUGGGCAAGUGCAAGGUGUACUGGGAGGUGGGCGGCCCCCUGGGCUCUGCCAGCCCCUCCACCCCUGCCCGCCUGCUGCCGCGGAACUGUGACACCCCCAUCUUCGACUACGGCACCUUCUUCCGAGAGCUGCUGGAAUUCCAGGCACGGCAGCGCCACUACACCAUCUACCUGGGCUUUGGGCAGGACCUGUCUGCUGGGAGGCCCAAGGAGAAGACCCUGGUCCUGGUGAAGCUGGAGCCCAGGCUGUGCCGGACCUGCCUGGAGGGUGUGCAGCGCGAAGGCGUGUCCUCCCUCGACAGCAGCCUCAGCCUCUGCCUGUCCAGCACCAACAGCUUCUACGACGACAUCGAGCACAUCCUCAUGGAGCUGGAGCAAGCCGCCUAGGGCCA